rnacentral:rRNA from 1 species
GGAAGCAGAUAAGAGCGCACGGGGGAUGCCUAGGCUCUCAGAGACGACGAAGGACGUGGUAAGCUGCGAAAAGCUACGGGGAACUGCAAACGAGUGUUGAUCCGUAGAUGUCCGAAUGGGGAAACCCGUACUGUUGAAGACAGUACGCUGCGCGAGCAGCGACAACCCGAUGAACUGAAACAUCUAAGUAGUCGGAGGAGAAGAAAACAAGAGUGAUUCCGUAAGUAGUGGCGAGCGAAAGCGGAGUAGCCCAAACCAGGCUGAUACGUCAGCCCGGGGUAGUAGGACCUGCAGAAAUUAAUGCUAAUGAAGUGGAAGAUGUUUGGAAAACAUCGCCGGAGAGGGUGAAAGCCCCGUACACGCCGGUUAGCAUUGAGGGCGGGUAUCCUGAGUAAGGCGGGACCGGAGAAAUCCUGUCUGAAUUUGCCGGCACCAUCCGGUAAGGCUAAAUACUCCUGAGAGACCGAUAGUGAACCAGUACCGUGAGGGAAAGGUGAAAAGAACCCCCAGCAGGGGAGUGAAAAGACCCUGAAACCGUGCGCUUACAAGCGGUCGGAGCCAUGAAAGUGGUGACGGCGUGCCUUUUGCAUAAUGAGCCUACGAGUUAUACCUGUCUAGCGAGUUUAACCUCUUCAGGAGGGCAGGCGGAGCGAAAGCGAGUCUUAACAGGGCGUAUAGCUAGACGGGAUAGACGCGAAACCGAGUGAUCUACCCAUGGGCAGGUUGAAGUCCGGAUAGUCUCCGGAUGGAGGACCGAACUGGUAAACGUUGAAAAGUUUUCGGAUGACCUGUGGGUAGGGGUGAAAGGCUAAUCAAACUCGGAGAUAGCUCGUACUCCCCGAAAUGCAUUUAGGUGCAGCGUUGUAUGAAUUGUUAUGGAGGUAGAGCUACCAAUAGGGCUAGGGGGCUUCGCGGCCUACCACCCCCUGAUGAACUCCGAAUGCCAUAACAAAUGUACAGCAGUGAGGCUACGGGUGCUAAGGUCCGUGGCCGAGAGGGGAACAACCCAGACCAUCAGCUAAGGUCCCUAAGUGUACGCUAAGUUGAAUGAACGAUGUGGGGAUGCAUUGACAGCUAGGAUGUUGGCUUGGAAGCAGCCAUUCAUUUAAAGAGUGCGUAACAGCUCACUAGUCGAGCGUUCCUGCGCGGAAAAUAAUCGGGCAUCAAACCAUGUACCGAAGCUUUGGAUUCUAACGAGUGGUAGGGGAGCAUUCAGUCGCGGAGAAGCAGCAUGGUAACGUGUUGUGGAGUGAACUGAAAAGCAAAUGUAGGCAUAAGUAACGAUAAAUGGCGUGGAAAACGUCAUCGCCGAAAGACUAAGGGUUCCUAGAUCUACGUUCAUCGGAUCAGGGUGAGCCGGGUCCUAAGGAUAAGCCGAAAGGCGAAGCCGAUGGCAAGCGGGUUAAUAUUCCCGCGCCUGCUAUACAAUGAAAGUGACGCAUUGACGUGGUCGCUAGGUUCUGACGGAAUAGAGCCUUGAGCCAAACCUUUCGGGGUGCGGCGAAGCGAUAAAAUCGGUGCCAGGAAAAGCGAGUAUAGCAGCCCGUACCGUAAACCGACACAGGUAGUCGAGGAGAGUAUCCUAAGGCGCUCGAGUGAUUCGUGGCUAAGGAACUAGGCAAAAUGGUCUCGUAACUUCGGGAGAAGAGACGCCCCGCGAGGGGCCGCAGUGAAGAGGCCCAGGCGACUGUUUAGCAAAAACACAGGGCUCUGCCAAAUCGUAAGAUGAAGUAUAGGGCCUGACACCUGCCCGGUGCCGGAAGGUUAAGGAAGGGGCUUAGGAGCAAUCCGAAGGUCUUAACUGAAGCCCCGGUAAACGGCGGCCGUAACUAUAACGGUCCUAAGGUAGCGAAAUUCCUUGUCGGGUAAGUUCCGACCU